rnacentral:rRNA from 1 species
UAGAUACCCUGGUAGUCCACGCCGUAAACGAUGAUCAUUAGUCGGCAGAGAACUGUUGACGCAGCUAACGCAUUAAAUGAUCCGCCUGAGUAGUAUGCUCGCAAGAGUAAAACUUAAAGGAAUUGACGGGGACCCGCACAAGCGGUGGAGCAUGUGGUUUAAUUUGAAGAUACGCGGAGAACCUUACCCACUCUUGACAUCCUUCGCAAAGCUAUAGAGAUAUAGUGGAGGUUAACGGAGUGACAGAUGG